UUAUAUUAUCAAUAAUAUUUAAGUAAAAAAAGGAGAAAAAUGACUAUAUGAAAAUGUCUUUUGCAUUACGUUAUCCAGUCAGAAGCAAAUCAGAAACCUUGAGAAAACACAAGAAAACAUCCAAGAUAAAAAAGGGAGUAAAACCAUGGGAUGACUCUGUUCAAGAUUUAACUAAAUUCAAGCCAAGUAGAGAAGAUUUAGAGCGCAAUCAUCAACUUCAUUUACCUAAGAAAGAUCAUGAACGAUUGUUUCACAAUACCCAUCCAAUAAGUUCUUUUCUCCAAGAUGAAAAAGAAAAUCAUAACAUCUUCCAAGAUGCUCCUAAAAUAUUAGAAAAAAAGCGUGCCUUAAUCAAAGAAAGGUUUUAUAAUCAAGAAAAAGAGUUAAGAGAAGUGCUUUCAGAGACUGAUCGUACAAUGGCUAAUGUUCAAGAUAUGUUUGGUGAUGAUGUUCAAAGGUAUAGAGUCUUUCCACACGUUACUAGAGCGCCAACAAAGAAGCAGAACACUGAGAGUUUCUUGACAUCUUAUGAUAAAUCAUCUAACAAUGAAGGGACAGUAAAUAUGGAGCUAAAUGCUGUUUCAGAUGAAGAAAGUAAUUCUAGUACUCAAAGCGCAAAACAUUCAUUUACAUCAGAAAUCAAUCUUGAUCGUUACCGAAAAUUUUUAAAAGAAAGUGAUACUAACAAAUGGGAAGAGGAGGCAUCAUCAGUCUUUCAAUCACUGUCUAAAAAUAUUCCAACCAACAAUGAGAAUUCCUGCACAGAUGAUAAAAGCAUUCAACACAUUGUUAAUCAACAACACUCAAACAAAAAUCAAAAGGAACAUCAUUCUGUUAAACAAAGUGAACUAAUCAAAAACAAUGUUAGCCAUAAUCAAUUAUCAAAAUCGUGUGAUGAACAAAGGCAUCCUUCCUCCCAGUCGUUCAAUGAUAUGAAAAAGUUAUUGGAUAUGUUAGAAUUAGAAAUUAGUGAAUAUGAAAAAGUAUCAGGUCAAAACAUUAAAUCUGAUCCAAUAAAGAUUCCUUCUACAUUAACUGGGUACACUGCAAAUCUUCUUUCUGCUGUUAUUAGAAUUACAAGAUAUUUAAAAGAGAGUGAAGUCCAGCUUCGUGCUGAAAUGUUGAUGCGAAAAGAAAUAGUCGAUGCUCUUGAAGAACAACGUGACUUAAUUGACGCACUGACUGCUGUUAGUAUUUUAAAUUGUUUGAAGGCUCUGCUCCAUGUGGAUCCUCAAGGAAGAUGGAUCUUAUCGAAACCCAAGAAAAAAAUGAAGAAUUAAAGAAAAUGAUUUAUGAACAAAAUAAAACGAAUCAAAAGCAACACUUCCAGCUUUCUAACGACUUUCAUCGAUUAGAGCAAAAGCUGGACAGCUUUUUAAUGUUAUUUGAUGACAUUUUUGAAAAAGUCGAUAGUAGCGAAACUGAUCAUUUAGACGUUUCUAGAGAUCCAAAAGAUUCAGUUAACAACGAUGCAUCGA
rnacentral:misc_RNA from 1 species